GCCUCUAUGGCUCAGUGGUAAAGCGUCGCACUUGUAAUGCGAAGAUCCCUCGUUCGAUCCGGGGUGGAGGCA